rnacentral:rRNA from 1 species
UGGAUAACUGUAGUAAUUCUAGAGCUAAUACAUGCCACUAUGCCCUGACCCGCGAGGGAACGGGUGGAUUUAUUAGAACAGAACCAACCGGUUGUGGCCUUGGUCACUUCCGUUGCACUCUGUGAUGACUCUGGAUAACUUCACUGAUCGCAGUCGGCCUUGUGUCGGCGACGGAUCUUUCAAAUGUCUGCCCUAUCAAUUUUCGAUGGUAGGUGACCUGCCUACCAUGGUGAUAACGGGUAACGGGGAAUCAGGGUUCGAUUCCGGAGAGGGAGCCUGAGAAACGGCUACCACUUCCAAGGAAGGCAGCAGGCGCGCAAAUUACCCAAUCCCGGCACGGGGAGGUAGUGACGAAAAAUACGGAUACGGGACUCAUCAGAGGCUCCGUAAUUCGAAUGAGUACACUUUAAAUCCUUGUACGAGGAUCAACUGGAGGGCAAGUCUGGUGCCAGCAGCCGCGGUAACUCCAGCUCCAGAAGCGUAUAUUAAAGUUGUUGCAGUUAAAAAGCUCGUAGUUGGAUCUGGGUCGCAUGGCUACAUGCUGCGCUCGUAUUUCCAAUCUGGUUACGACUGGAGCGGAUUUGUGAGUCAGUGUCGUGGUUGUGCAGCCUUUCUGCCGUGUCUGGUUUCCAGGUGCUGGCCAUCAGUGGGUUCGUCUCGCUGUUUGGUUGGCAUGCUUCUCGAUGCCU